CCCCAACUGCGCCCCGCCUCCCUCCCCACCGCCGUGCUCCCCCUCUCCGCACGGACGCCCUCCCCGCCUCCGCUGCCGCCCACGCAACGGACGCCAUCAUGGCAGUCGCCGAUCCGCUCAAGACCCAAAAGCCCGUCGCGAGGACCUAGAAGUCCUCCAUGGAGCUUAAGCCGCUCCCUCCGGGCCUGCCGCACCAAGGAAAAGCGGAUCGAGUGGGGCGCGGAAGGAGCCGAGGUCGGCACGCCGCCGUCGCGUGGGCGUGUCGGCGGCGAACAGGGUGUCCCCAAGAACCGGCCGUGGGUCAAGAAGACGGUGAUGUUCCCAAAUCCCACAUUCGUCGCUCCCACCUCCGUCACCGUGUACGCCUCGCCGUUAGCGACAAAGAAACUAAAGCGGUCCUACAAGACUAGGUCCCCUGUCAGUCAAGGUCGCGCAGACCUCGCACAAGUUCCUGGUGGCAGCAUGAUGAGUGGGCUCAAGCAGCAACCCGGCGUCAGCUUGACGGCGUGGACUAUCAGGAUAUCAUCCUGAUGCGUGCUGAUCAAUUCAAUCGUGGUGAGAAGAUGAGCUCUGCUAUACUCAAAAGUGUGCACCACAAAGAAACGAGAAACUCUGAAACUAUACAUGGGUCAGUGAUCUAUAGAUUUAUCUUUCAAGAAUACCAGCAGUUGGUUUCGUUUCAAACUAAUUAGGUAGAUAUUUGUGCAAGUUUAUAGAAAUUUGUCAUGCCUAGCUAGCUGCUCUAGCAGUCAGUUGAAUCUGUGUUUGGGUCAAUUUUUGAGGUUUGGUCUGGCACAACUAUAUUUCAACGGAGGUAGGUGACACUCAUGAGGCAAGAGCACUUCACAAGGGCUAUUAUAGCAAAGAAAUCGCUGGGUCUGCAAUUCUGGAUCAAAGGACACAGAAAAGAUGAUGGAGUUAGAGCUUCCGUACAGCAGAGUCUUAGCUGCUGGUCACACUUUAACCACACGUCAAUUGUAGGAGUGGUGCGGCGCCAUCCUGUACCACAAAUCAUGCGA